GUGACCUCAAAUCAGGUAGGACUACCCGCUGAACUUAAGCAUAUCAAUAAGCGGAGGAAAAGAAACUAACAAGGAUUCCCCUAGUAACUGCGAGUGAAGCGGGAAAAGCUCAAAUUAAAUCUGGCGGUCUUUGGCUGUCCGAGUUGUAUCUAGAGAAGUGUAUCC
rnacentral:rRNA from 1 species